rnacentral:rRNA from 1 species
UUGACGGGACCGCACAAGCGGUGGAUGAUGUGGUUUAAUUCGAUGCAACGCGAAAACCUUACCACCUUUGACAUGGCAGGAAGUUACCAGAGAUGGUUUCGUGCUCGAAAGAGAACCUGCACACAGGUGCUGCAUGGCUGUCGUCAGCUCGUGUCGUGAGAUGUUGGGUUAAGUCCCGCAACGAGCGCAACCCUUGCCAUCAGUUGCUACGAAAGGGCACUCUGAUGGGACUGCCGGUGACAAACCGGAGGAAGGUGGGGAUGACGUCAAGUCCUCAUGGCCCUUAUAGGUGGGGCUACACACGUCAUACAAUGGCCGGUACAAAGGGCAGCCAACCCGCGAGGGGGAGCCAAUCCCAUAAAGCCGGUCGUAGUCCGGAUCGCAGUCUGCAACUCGACUGCGUGAAGUCGGAAUCGCUAGUAAUCGUGGAUCAGCAUGUCACGGUGAAUACGUUCCCGGGUCUU